CCUACGGGCGGCAGCAGUGGGGAAUAUUGGGCAAUGGGCGCAAGCCUGACCCAGCAACGCCGCGUGAAGGAAGAAGGCUUUCGGGUUGGAAACUUCUUUUUUCAGGGACGAAGAAAGUGACGGUACCUGAGGAAUAAGCCACGGGUAACUAUGUGCCAGCACCCGCGGUAAGUCGUAGGUGGCAAGCGUUAUCCGGAUUUACGGGGUGUAAAGGGAGUGUAGGCGGGACGGCAAGUCAGGUGUGAAAACCACGGGCUCAACCUGUGGACUGGAGUGGAAACUGUCGUUCUUGAGUACUGGAGAGGCAGGCGGAAUUCCUGGUGUAGCGGUGAAAUGCGUAGAUAUUAGGAGGAACACCGGUGGCGAAGGCGGUCUGCUGGACAGCAACUGACGCUGAGGCGCGAAAGCGUGGGGAGCAAACAGGAUUAGAUACCCGGGUAGUC
rnacentral:rRNA from 1 species